rnacentral:rRNA from 1 species
ACGCUGGCGGCGUGCCUAAUACAUGCAAGUCGAGCGAAGUUUUUCUGGUGCUUGCACUAGAAAAACUUAGCGGCGAACGGGUGAGUAACACGUAAAGAACCUGCCUCAUAGACUGGGACAACUAUUGGAAACGAUAGCUAAUACCGGAUAACAGCAUUAACUGCAUGGUUGAUGUUUGAAAGUUGGUUUUGCUAACACUAUGAGAUGGCUUUGCGGUGCAUUAGCUAGUUGGUGGGGUAAAGGCCUACCAAGGCGACGAUGCAUAGCCGACCUGAGAGGGUGAUCGGCCACACUGGGACUGAGACACGGCCCAGACUCCUACGGGAGGCAGCAGUAGGGAAUCUUCCGCAAUGGGCGAAAGCCUGACGGAGCAACGCCGCGUGAGUGAAGAAGGAUUUCGGUUCGUAAAGCUCUGUUGUUAGGGAAGAAUGAUUAUGUAGUAACUAUACAUAGUAGAGACGGUACCUAACCAGAAAGCCACGGCUAACUACGUGCCAGCAGCCGCGGUAAUACGUAGGUGGCAAGCGUUGUCCGGAAUUAUUGGGCGUAAAGCGCGCGCAGGUGGUUUAAUAAGUCUGAUGUGAAAGCCCACGGCUCAACCGUGGAGGGUCAUUGGAAACUGUUAAACUUGAGUGCAGGAGAGAAAAGUGGAAUUCCUAGUGUAGCGGUGAAAUGCGUAGAGAUUAGGAGGAACACCAGUGGCGAAGGCGGCUUUUUGGCCUGUAACUGACACUGAGGCGCGAAAGCGUGGGGAGCAAACAGGAUUAGAUACCCUGGUAGUCCACGCCGUAAACGAUGAGUGCUAGGUGUUGGUCUCAUAAGAGAUCAGUGCUGCAGCUAACGCAUUAAGCACUCCGCCUGGGGAGUACGACCGCAAGGUUGAAACUCAAAGGAAUUGACGGGGACCCGC